rnacentral:tRNA from 1 species
GCCUGUGUGGCUCAGUUGGUUAAGCAUCUGACUUUGGCUCAGGUCAUGAUCUUGUGGUUCGUGAGUUUGAGCCCCACGUCAGGCU